CCGCACCCUCCACAUAUGUUGCUCCGUAUGGAACUAUGAAUAUGGCUGGCGUGCUGUUGGUUUUCGACACCAGCUUCACGUUCUGGGACUUAUAGACAGCCAGCCCAAAGCAAGAUCUUUAGCGCUCUCCUAUGGUUGAUGAUAAUUACCGGGUGGUUCAGCUGCCACAAUGAGAUAUCAUCUGAGAGAAUCGGGGGUUCUUCAUAACUGUUCACAGUAAUACAAAUUCAAUAUUGAUGUAAUUCAAUAACACCCAAGGACUUCAUGAAUCACGCAGCCAAUGACUAUAUUUAAGGUACUAAACGGAGUGCAAUUGUGCAAGUGGCGGGUCAUCAGUUUAUAUCAAGGCAGCAUUCUUAUCAGGAUCAGCCAAUCCUAAAAAGAUGUCCAAACAUAAACAAGGAUGCAUAUCCCUUGCAGCAAGUACAGAUGCAAAAGGAAUGCAUGAAGUCAUGGCUCAAAACUGAGCUCCUAACAUAUACCGCAAGUGUAUAUCGAAUCAUUCUAAUGCCACAAAUACGGUAAGAAAUCUGAAAUUAACAAACCAGAUUAAAACCAGGACAAUUGUAGUCUUCAAAGAAAAAAGAAAGAAAACAGGAUAAAUGUGUAAUGCUCAGUCUGUGCCAGAGGAGACUCCACUUCCAUCACCCCCUUCUUCUUCUUCUUGUCUUCAGCUGCAGCAUCCAUCAUAGACCGGUCUGUAACCUCACCAACGUGAAGAACUAGUCCAACAGAGUUAGGCUCCACGGCUGUUGAAGGUCUGUCCUUGGUCUCAGGCACAAUGCCAGCCUCAUCCUGAAGCAAGAUUGAAACAUAGUAUCCUGGCCGGGCCUCCAGCCCGGUGCCGGAGUGGGAAAAACCUCAGGUGGUGCUGGAGGCAUGGAGAAACUCAAAGGGCUUGUG